rnacentral:lncRNA from 1 species
AACCAAUGUUUACAUUACAGAAAGAAUAAACCAAAAGGGAUUUAUAGGUUUUAAACAUUAAGCUGUACAAAGUGUCUAAUCAAUAACAGUGCUGGCUAGACUAAACCGGUGUCUAAGUUUUUUUUAACAGGUAGCUAGUUUUGACAAACUUUUAGGUCAUUAUCUAAACCUACCAAAGGUGCAAAAAAAAUAACAGGGUGUAACACAAGACCUACUCAUCAUCCUACAAAAGCUUACAACCUAAACGGGUCUACAAUCUACUCAACAAGAACGUCGAAAGGUAUCUAAUCUAAAACAGACUAACUGGGAAUACCGAUUUGGAACGAUGAUGCACUGCUGAAGAUGAUAGAUACGGGGAUUCUAAAGAGGUCUAAUUUAUAGAGCAAGAUGUAAGCUACCAGAUGCAAAAAUAAUUUCUUAAAUAGGAUCUACGGAACAAAAGAUAUGGUGUAUAGAAGUAGGCUAAUCAAAACAGACUGCAGCCCGAAAACAGAGCAAGAAAGCUCACCGGAGAAGAUGGAGUUCGCCGGAGUUGAUGGGAGUCGGCGAAACAGAGGUUUCCGGAGGCAAGGCUGUGGUGUAUGGUGUUCUAGGCGUUGAUAGGGAUCUAAAGGUGGUGGUGGCUCGGGCUAAUUUGGGGCGAGGCGGUAGGAAUUGCUCGCCGGAGUUUGCGUGGAAACGGCGACAAAACUUGAAAUUGGUGGCAAGGUUGACUGCGGCUUCGAGCUAGAUUUCGAGGGAUUGGUCCGGGCUCUCGAGGGCGUCA